rnacentral:rRNA from 1 species
GAUGAACGCUAGCUACAGGCUUAACACAUGCAAGUCGAGGGGUAACGAGAGGAAAGCUUGCUUUCCUUGUCGACGACCGGCGCACGGGUGAGUAACGCGUAUCCAACCUGCCCCCAACUAAGGAAUAACCUUGCGAAAGUAAGACUAAUACCUUAUAAUUUCCUCAGAUGUCAUCUGACGAGGAAUAAAGAUUUAUCGGUUGUGGAUGGGGAUGCGUCUGAUUAGCUUGUUGGCGGGGUAACGGCCCACCAAGGCAACGAUCAGUAGGGGUUCUGAGAGGAAGGGCCCCCACAUUGGGACGGAGACAGGGUCCAAACUCCUACGGGAGGCAGCAGUGAGGAAUAUUGGUCAAUGGGCGAAAGCCUGAACCAGCCAAGUAGCGUGCAGGAUGACGGCCCUAUGGGUUGUAAACUGCUUUUAUACAGGAAUAAAGUUAGCCACGUGUGGUUAUUUGUAGGUACUGUAUGAAUAAGGACCGGCUAAUUCCGUGCCAGCCGCCGCGGUAA